AGAAGCAGGAGGAGAAAGAAAGUAAAAAAAAAAAAAAAAAAAAAUGGAGGAAGAGAGAGUAAAAAUAUUUUGAUUAAUUCUAAAAUAUUCUGUCUGAAUCUAUAAAAUUAAAAAAUGCGAUCCGAUUUUGUUAAAAAGCAAAAUCAAUAGAUUUUUUAUGCAAAAAAUACUUUUUAAUAAAUUAACGGCACUAAAAACUGAGACUUAAGCAAAAUAAAUAUGAAAGACCAAGGAUAUUGUUGUAAGGAAAAAAAAAAAGGAUGGAGGACGAACAUGAAAAUUGAGUGA
rnacentral:lncRNA from 1 species